rnacentral:rRNA from 1 species
GCUACGGGGGUCAGCAGUGAGGAAUAUUGGUCAAUGGACGAGAGUCUGAACCAGCCAAGUAGCGUGAAGGAUGACUGCCCUAUGGGUUGUAAACUUCUUUUAUAAAGGAAUAAAACGAGGCACGUGUGCCUUUUUGCAUGUACUUUAUGAAUAAGGAUCGGCUAACUACGUGCCAGCAGCCGCGGUAAUACGUAGGGGGCAAGCGUUAUCCGGAAUUACUGGGUGUAAAGGGAGCGUAGACGGUAAUGCAAGUCUGGAGUGAAAGGCGGGGGCCCAACCCCCGGACUGCUCUGGAAACUGGGUAACUGGAGUGCAGGCGAGGCAGGCGGAAUUCCUAGUGUAGCGGUGAAAUGCGUAGAUAUUAGGAGGAACACCAGUGGCGAAGGCGGCCUGCUGGACUGUAACUGACGUUGAGGCUCGAAAGCGUGGGGAGCAAACAGGAUUAGAUACCCGAGUAGUC